rnacentral:rRNA from 1 species
GCUAAACGCGAAGAACCUUACCUGGCCUUGACAUCCAUGGAAUCCCGAAGAGAUUUGGGAGUGCCGCAAGGAACCAUGAGACAGGUGCUGCAUGGCUGUCGUCAGCUCGUGUCGUGAGAUGUUGGGUUAAGUCCCGCAACGAGCGCAACCCUUGUCCUUAGUUGCCAUCAUUAAGUUGGGAACUCUAAGGAGACCGCCGGUGACAAACCGGAGGAAGGUGGGGAUGACGUCAAGUCAUCAUGGCCUUUAUGGCCAGGGCUACACACGUGCUACAAUGGCAGGUACAGAGGGAAGCCAACCAGCAAUGGGGAGCCAAUCCCAGAAAGCCUGUCUUAGUCCGGAUUGCAGUCUGCAACUCGACUGCAUGAAGUUGGAAUCGCUAGUAAUCGCAGAUCAGCAUUGCUGCGGUGAAUACGUUCCCGGGUCUUGUACACACCG